rnacentral:rRNA from 1 species
UGCCAGACUCCUACGGGAGGCAGCAGUGGGGGAUAUUGCACAAUGGGGGGAACCCUGAUGCAGCGACGCCGCGUGGGUGAGGAAGUACCCCGGUAUGUAAAGCCCUUUCGGCAGGGAAGAAAAUGACGGUACCUGGCGAAGAAGCCCCGGCUAACUACGUGCCAGCAGCCGCGGUAAUACGUAGGGGGCAAGCGUUAUCCGGAUUUACUGGGUGUAAAGGGAGCGUAGACGGCGAUGCAAGUCUGAAGUGAAAGGCGGGGGCCCAACCCCCGGACUGCUUUGGAAACUGUAUAGCUGGAGUGCAGGAGAGGUAAGUGGAAUUCCUAGUGUAGCGGUGAAAUGCGUAGAUAUUAGGAGGAACACCAGUGGCGAAGGCGACUUUCUGGACGAUAACUGACGUUGAGGCACGAAAGUGUGGGGAGCAAACAGGAUUAGAUACCCUCGUAU